rnacentral:lncRNA from 12 species
ACAGCUUUCUUAGGGUCACAGCUUCCAAUCAGGGCCGACCUGAAACCAUCUAUAUUUUUCCCACUAUAAUGCUUUCUUCCUCUUCUGCCUUUGAAUCUCUGCCGAAUGCAAGUGGCGGUGGCUGACUUCCUUGCUGUAUCAAUCUCUGAAUAAGCCUUUCUUGCUGUCAUUUGGGGGUCUUCAUUUAUUUCCACAACAAUAUGGAAGAAGUAACAAUGCGGCCAUUCUGUGUCUAUGUCUCAAGAGGCCUUUGACAAUUCUGCUCUCCUGCCUUUCUGCCAUCACCAUGAGAACGAGCUCGGGGUAGGCUUCUGGGCAUUCAAGGGCCUCCUACAGUUUGAAAGACGUUAUGGAGCAGAGCUCAGGUGUUCUUUUGAAAUUGAGUACACUUAGCAGUGGAGCUGUUUGCAACUAAGAAGCGCAAAUAAGGAAGUAGAGGGAUUUAGUGAUUUGGGAGUUAUUUAGGUGGUGGGGGAAAGGCCGAGGAUUCAGCUUUCCAGUCAAGCAACAGACAGGUGGGCUGGGAGGAGUGCUCACUCGGAUCGUUCUUUGCUGGGUGCAGACUUGACUGGAGGGGGCAGGCUCACUUGAGGGGGCUGAGCUGUGACAUGGCUCCGGGUGAUCGGUCAGCCCGGCAGGAGCUGACGUUGAAGCGCUGAACCCGUCAACCUCCCCUGCACGCUGACCUUUGGAGGCUGGAACCCCUUCAAGAGCAGCGUAAGCAAAGCUACCGUUAUUUCCUGGGGCGUUUAAAGACAUGGUUUACGUAAGAAACGUCUCUUACAGAUCUGUGAGGACUUUGUGCGUUUAUUAAUGCUUAGCAAGUAUUAUGUAAAAGAACAACGGGUACGCGUUUAGUCUGGGAGGUAUGCUGGGUGUGAGGAGCUCAACAACCUCCCCAGGUUGGGGUUUCCCUUGUGGGCAGGUAAUGGGAAGGAACCCUCAUGAGCACUUUCAAAGGUUUCUAACUGCGGCCGCAAUUUGCAUUAACGAGACCACAGCUUACACCUUACCCCGGGAACACAACAACCAAAGAAAUACUAAUGAGCUGGAAUUUGAACCCACGUGGCUUAGGUUUUCAGCUGCCCGUGUUUUUCUUCCUUUUUGUUCUUCCCUCGGUGCAAAAAAUAUUUUGGUUUCUUCUAUGACAUUUCUUAUUCUGUAUAAUUGGCGUCAGACACAGGUGCCAGGUUCUCCCAUCUGAACUUCUCCACUCCAUUGUCCAAUCUGGUCUUGAUUGGGGGGCAAAUAUGGUCGCGUUACAUCUCUACUUAUAAGGCUGAGUGGCCUUCACUGCCUGUAGAAUGAAGGUACGUUUGUGCGUAUCACAUAAAACUCUCCAUUCUGGGACCCCUGCACCCCUCUCCAAGGUCGUGUUCACCCAUUCCCUUCUUUUUUUGUUAAUUUUUAAUUUAAUUUAAUUUAAUUUAAUUUUUGUUAUUUAUUUAUUAUUUAUUUAUUUAUUUAUUUAUUUACUUAUUUAUUUAUUUAUUUAUUUAUUUAAUUUUUUCCCUUCCCUUCUUUGAAACCAUGCUAGACUCCUGCUUUUCCAUAAGCUUGCUGUAAUGGUUCACAGAGUUGCAUCUUCGCACAUGUUCCCUAUAGUCUGAAAGAAACGUUCUUAUUUUGUCACUUGUCCUUCAUCUUCAAGACCCAGUUCUAAUACCACACUUUUAGACCAGUCCUCCCCAGUCCCGAGAUGGAAUUGCACGGUGCCACCUGCACUGUACACAGACCUCUGUGAGGGUAAGUGUUCUGCUGACUGACAGCUGUUCAUUCCCGUGUUUGUUCCUCCCACCAGCUUUGAACUCUUCAGGAAGAGAAACCAUGUCUCAUGGAUCAUUGGAUCCCAAUUACUUUGCCAGGUAGAGGUGCCUACUAAGUUCUCAGUAAGUUGCUUUGGAAUUAUGUGCAUUGAUUGGCCCUCAAGUUCAACUGCAAGCAGAGACUUAAUGAGAGCUCUUUAGAGGCGGCGCAGUUACUCCUUCAUGGUAGGAUUUUUUCUCUCUCCGAUCUUUUGUACAUGAUUCCUCUGCUUUAAGUGACCUCGCCACACCGUCACCUGAAAAACCAUAUAUACUCCUUAAAUCUCAGCCCAAACAUCACUGCCUCAUUGAAGCUUUUCCCUACUUCCCCAGGUAAGAUUAAUCACCUCUUCCUUAGAAUUAACUCAGUUGGACCUGUAUAUUAUCUCAUUCUUUCUUUUAUUGUACUUACUGGAUGUUUUCUUAAAAAUCCUUUGAAAAAAAAAUCCUUUGAAAAACCGUUGAAAAGCAAACAGAUGCCCAUUCACUCCACUCUACUAGAAUUAAUUGUGGCUUCUUUUGUAUUUAUGUAGCAUUUGUCUUAGCAUAUAAAAGACAUUUGUUUACAUGUAUUUACGAUUUUAAGCUCCUUGAGGGAGGGAUUGUAUUUAAUUUAUUUGCUUGUAGGUUUGCUCCUGACUCAUUUCUGUUGUUUUCCCAUGAUCCAAGAUGUUAUUUUUGGUCACUGAUUCCAGAUGAUUUAUAAUAUUCAGUUUCUACACAACUUUAUUAUUUACCAAAACUUUAAAAAUCACAUUAUUGUUCAGCUGUUAAGGCUGGGAUGCAUAUUUAGUUUUUUAAGCUUUUCCCUGUUUUUAGUUUUGUUUUUAGUCCAUCAUUUUUAUUUCUUAUUUCUGUGUGUUGAUAAGAAAUGUAAGAGUGGAAUGUUAAUCAAUUUCAGUUUAGUUCUGUAAUGUCAAGAAUUUAAAAAUUAAAACAUGGGUCUGUUAAAAAAAAUUGCCUGGCAGAGAACCUAUACAUAGAUGCUAAACAAUUAUAUGUGAAAUUGAAUUGAAAUCAACCAAAAUAUACGUUUUUUAAUUUAUUUUUAAUUUAAUUUUUUUAAAUUUAAAUUUAUUUUUUAAAAAAUUUAUUCAUGAGAGACACAUAGAGAGAGUCAGAGACACAGGCAGAGGGAGGAGUAAGCUCCAUGCAGGGAGCCCGAUGUGGGACUCGAUCCCUGGACCCUGGGAUCACGACCUGAGCUGAAGGUAGACAGUCAAUCACUGAGCCACCCAGGCAUCCCUCAAAAUAUAAGUUUUUUGAGGAUAAUGAAUAUCAACUUUGAUCAGUGUUGUCACUUGGGGGAAAUGAAACCAAAUGAAACACUUUAGUUGUGCCCACAUGACAACCCCAAACAUUUUUGAAAGAAAGUAGAAAAAGCCUUAUUACCGUUUGUCUCUGUAGUGUCCCCAAUUUGUAAUAAAUCCUUUUCCUUGUUAUAUGAUUCCUGUACU